rnacentral:rRNA from 1 species
UACGGAGGGUGCAAGCGUUGUCCGGAUUUAUUGGGUUUAAAGGGUGCGUAGGCGGCGUAGUAAGUCCGUGGUGAAAGCCAACAGCUCAACUGUUGAACUGCCAUGGAUACUGCUAGGCUUGAGUACAGACGAGGUAGGCGGAAUGGAUAGUGUAGCGGUGAAAUGCAUAGAUACUAUCCAGAACACCGAUUGCGAAGGCAGCUACUAGACUGUAACUGACGCUGAGGCACGAAAGCGUGGGGAGCGAACAGG